rnacentral:rRNA from 1 species
GAUGAACGCUGGCGGCGUGCCUAAUACAUGCAAGUCGAGCGAACAGACGAGGAGCGUGCCUCUCGGACGUUAGCGGCGGACGGGAGAGUAACACGUGGAUAACCUACCUAUAAGACAGGGAUAACUUGGGGAAACCGGAGCUAAUACCGGCUAAGAUAGUGAACCGCAUGGUUCAAUAGUGAAAGACGGUGUUGCUGUCACUGAUAGAUGGAGUCGCGUCGGAUUAGCUAGGUGGUAAGGUAACGGCUCACCAAGGGAACGAUGCGGAGCAGGACCGAGAGGGCGACUCGCCCCCCCUGGACCUAGGCCCCGCCCCAGACCCCUCGGGAGGGCAGCAGUGGGAAUUCUUCAGAAAUGGGCGAAACCCUGACGAAGCAACGCCGCGUGAGUAAUGAGGGUCUUCGGUUCGAAAACUCUUUUAUUAGGAACGAACCGGUGUGUGAGAAACCCUGCACGUCUUGACGGUACCUUAUGAGAAAGCACCGGCUAACUACGUG